GGUUGCGAUCAUACCAAUAUUAAUGCACCGGAUCCCAUCAGAACUCCGCAGUUAAGCGUGCUUGGGCGAGAGUAGUACUAGGAUGGGUGACCCCUUGGGAAGUACUCGUGUUGCAACCC
rnacentral:rRNA from 1 species